CUACAUACAGAGUGAGUUCCAAGUCAGCCAGGCCUACACAAAUAAACCCUGUCACAAAAAGCAAAAACAAAAGAAAGAAAGAAAUCCCUCAUAGGUUUACCCAGUUAAUUCCAGAUGGAGUCAAGUUAACAACCAAAAAAUAAGCCGUCAAAAUCCACCCCUUGUCAACUUGAUACACAAUCAUCUCCUUAUGCCAUGCUUUAUUUCCAAGUGAAAACAUUAACCAGGUCCUAAUUGUGCCUAGCAUGAUAAAGCUAUCUCAUAUACAAUUGUUAAUACAUUAUAUAUCUAACCAGAUCAUAAUUAUGCCUAUCAUGAUAAAACUAUCUCAUAUAUAAUUUUUAAUGCAUUAUAUAUUUAACCAGGUCAUAAUUAUGCCUAACAUGAUAAAACUAUCUCAUAUGCAAUUGUUAAUGCAUUAUAUAUUUAACCAGGUCAUAAUUAUGCCUAGCAUUAUAUCCCUCAUACAACCCCAAAUGAAUUAUAAAUUUUAGGAUAGGUGACAAUGUCCCUUAAGGGACAUUCUUUUUAAAUAUAUUAACCACUGAUAUUCUCUUAAUUGGUGUCCACAGAAGAGGUCAUCCUAUCCACUUUGUUAUUGAACUCCUCUGCUGAAGUCACGUUUGAUGAGCAUGUACAUGGGACACAGUUCAGGGUACCAUGAAGUCCAGGAGGACAACAGCAUCAGUUCCUGUCUUUGACAACAGAAGCCUGCCUGCUCACAUCCUGGGAAGUCAUGAAAGAUGCCAGAGAUCAGUUGGCUUCUCCUCUUCCCCUUUUUAUUUGGGUCAGGACUCCAGGCCAUGGAAGAUGCCACACAAGUUCAGAGACAGUCUUCCCCUUCUUUCUGACUCUUCUCUGGAAAAACCCUCAGGCACUGGAAGGUAUGCUUUAUUGACAGAUACCUCAGAUGUUUCUUACUUGUCAGUUGAAAUGAACCAUGAUAAUUUCUGAAUUAUGGGACUGGAAACUAAUAGUGUUGGCUGUCAACUUGAUUGGCUCUGUAAUCAGCUAAGCAAUAUGACUCCUCAUUGUUCCAGAGUGGGCGUCACUUUCCAGUAGUGUCCCAGAGAAAAGUAGUGCUGCUGUUGCUUGUCUGCCUUUGCACCUUGCUGGUCAGUAUAUCUACUACUGUGUUGCUGUUGCUGCUGCUAUCACCUUCACUGACUUCAGAACCCAUCUUCUUCAGCCUUCUAACAAACUGAAGACUAACACUCUCCAAGAAUCCUCCAGGCUUCAGGACCAGAUUGGGAAUGUG